UACGGGGGGAGCAAGCGUUGUUCGGAUUUACUGGGCGUAAAGGGCGCGUAGGCGGUCAGCACAAGUCAGUUGUGAAAUCUCCGGGCUUAACUCGGAAAGGUCAACUGAUACUGUCGUGCUAGAGUGCGGAAGGGGCUACUGGAAUUCUCGGUGUAGCGGUGAAAUGCGUAGAUAUCGAGAGGAACACCUGCGGCGAAGGCGGGUAGCUGGGCCGACACUGACGCUGAUGCGCGAAAGCCAGGGGAGCGAACGGG
rnacentral:rRNA from 1 species